CAGAGGGUGCGAGCGUUAAUCGGAAUUACUGGGCGUAAAGCGCGCGUAGGCGGCUUUGCAAGUCGGGUGUGAAAUCCCCAGGCUUAACCUGGGAACUGCAUUCGAGACUGCAUUACUAGAGUAUGGGAGAGGGAAGUGGAAUUUCCGGUGUAGCGGUGAAAUGCGUAGAUAUCGGAAGGAACAUCAGUGGCGAAAGCGACUUCCUGGACCAAUACUGACGCUCACGUGCGAAAGCGUGGGGAGCAAACAGGAUUAGAUACCCUGGUAGUCCACGCCAUAAACGAUGAGAACUGGAUGUCGGGAGGGUCUGCCUCUCGGUGUCGUAGCUAACGCGUUAAGUUCUCCGCCUGGGGAGUACGGCCGCAAGGUUG
rnacentral:rRNA from 1 species